UUUAAAAGAAGCAAUUGCUUCACUACUUGAUGAUCCCGCGUUGUAUUAGCUAGUUGGUAGUGUAAAGGACUACCAAGGCGAUGAUACAUAGCCGACCUGAGAGGGUGAUCGGCCACACUGGGACUGAGACACGGCCCAGACUCCUACGGGAGGCAGCAGUAGGGAAUCUUCGGCAAUGGGGGCAACCCUGACCGAGCAACGCCGCGUGAGUGAAGAAGGUUUUCGGAUCGUAAAACUCUGUUGUUAGAGAAGAACGUUAAGUAGAGUGGAAAAUUACUUAAGUGACGGUAUCUAACCAGAAAGGGACGGCUAACUACGUGCCAGCAGCCGCGGUAAUACGUAGGUCCCAAGCGUUGUCCGGAU
rnacentral:rRNA from 1 species